rnacentral:rRNA from 1 species
UAGGAAUUUUGGGCAAUGGGCGGAAGCCUGACCCAGCAACGCCGCGUGGGUGACGAAGGCCCUCGGGUCGUAAAGCCCUUUUCCCCGGGACGAUGAUGACGGUACCGGGGGAAGAAGCACCGGCUAACUACGUGCCAGCAGCCGCGGUAAUACGUAGGGUGCGAGCGUUGCCCGGAUUCAUUGGGCGUACAGCGCGCGCAGGCGGCGCGGUGCAUCCCGCGUGAAAUCGCCCGGCUCAACCGGGCGGGGUCGCGGGAGAUGGUCGCGCUGGAGCACGGGAGGGGGCAGUGGAAUUCCCGGUGUAGUGGUGGAAUGCGUAGAGAUCGGGAGGAACACCAGUGGCGAAGGCGACUGCCUGGACCGUGGCUGACGCUGAGGCGCGAAAGCGUGGGGAGCGAUC